CAGUCGCCGCGGGAAUACGUAGGUGGCAAGCGUUGUCCGGAAUUAUUGGGCAUAAAGGGCUCGCAGGCGGUUUCUUAAGUCUGAUGUGAAAGCCCCCGGCUCAACCGGGGAGGGUCAUUGGAAACUGGGAAACUUGAGUGCAGAAGAGGAGAGUGGAAUUCCACGUGUAGCGGUGAAAUGCGUAGAGAUGUGGAGGAACACCAGUGGCGAAGGCGACUCUCUGGUCUGUAACUGACGCUGAGGAGCGAAAGCGUGGGGAGCGAACAGGAUUAGAUACCCGUGUAGUCCCUGUCUCUUAUAC
rnacentral:rRNA from 1 species